UAGGGGGCAAGCGUUAUCCGGAUUUACUGGGUGUAAAGGGAGCGUAGACGGCUGUGUAAGUCUGAUGUGAAAGGUCGGGGCUCAACCCCGGGACUGCAUUGGAAACUGUGCGGCUAGAGUGUCGGAGAGGUAAGUGGAAUUCCUAGUGUAGCGGUGAAAUGCGUAGAUAUUAGGAGGAACACCAGUGGCGAAGGCGGCUUACUGGACGAUGACUGACGUUGAGGCUCGAAAGCGUGGGGAGCAAA
rnacentral:rRNA from 1 species